rnacentral:rRNA from 1 species
UACAGAGGGUGCAAGCGUUAAUCGGAAUUACUGGGCGUAAAGCGUGCGUAGACGGUUGCGUAAGUCAGAUGUGAAAGCCCCGGGCUCAACCUGGGAAUUGCAUUUGAGACUGCGUAGCUAGGGUGCGGAAGAGGGAAGCGGAAUUUCCGGUGUAGCGGUGAAAUGCGUUGAUAUCAUCUGGAACACCAGUGGCGAAGGCGGCUCACUGGCCCGAUACUGACGCUGAGGUGCGAAAGCGUGGGGAGCAAACAGG